rnacentral:piRNA from 1 species
UAGAAAGCAUCCGACAAAGAAUCUGCUUCCA